rnacentral:tRNA from 1 species
GCCUGGGUGGCUCAGUCGGUUGAGCAUCCGACUUCAGCUCAGGUCAUGAUCUCGCAGUUUGUGGGUUCGAGCCCCGCGUUGGGCU